AACAAACGCUGGCGGCAUGCCUAAUACAUGCAAGUCGAACGAGAUCUUCGGAUCUAGUGGCGCACGGGUGCGUAACGCGUGGGAAUCUGCCCUUGGGUUCGGAAUAACUUCUGGAAACGGAAGCUAAUACCGGAUGAUGACGUAAGUCCAAAGAUUUAUCGCCCAAGGAUGAGCCCGCGUAGGAUUAGCUAGUUGGUGGGGUAAAGGCCCACCAAGGUGACGAUCCUUAGCUGGUCUGAGAGGAUGAUCAGCCACACUGGGACUGAGACACGGCCCAGACUCCUACGGGAGGCAGCAGUAGGGAAUAUUGGACAAUGGGCGAAAGCCUGAUCCAGCAAUGCCGCGUGAGUGAUGAAGGCCUUAGGGUUGUAAAGCUCUUUUACCCGGGAUGAUAAUGACAGUACCGGGAGAAUAAGCUCCGGCUAACUCCGUG
rnacentral:rRNA from 1 species